ensembl:lncRNA
GUUCGAGGCGAAGUCUUCUCUCCUCCCUCGUUAGCUGUCGUCGGGGGCGACCGCGACCGCCAAUCCCUCAAAGUCAUCCCAAAGACCAGUUGUCCCUGGCAACCCCCGAACUGAGGAUAAAGUACAGCCUCUCGUACCUUAUUGCUUUAAUACAUGACAUCUCAAAGUGUACCAAGUCUAUUAAUACGAGAGAGCACUUUCAUGACUAAUAUGUCGUUUUUCUGGCACACGAUUGUUAAAGCACUCUUCUUAAAGCAUUCGUUUUUUUUCCUUUUCCACCAAACCUUAGCGUUAGCUGAACGCUAACGGCAAACGUUAGCUUGUGACGGUAGCUAGCACCAUUAGCUAAUUAGCGCUGAACUUAAAGCACAGCGGAGACUGGUGAUCUAGAACACAGACGCAGAAGGAGAAGUUUAGCAUGAAGAUGGAACUGAGAAGUCAGAGGACCACAGAAGGUUCCACGAGUCGAUGGACCAUACGAACGUUGUCGGGAACCAAAGAUCAACCGCUCAAGCUCUGCACAUUCUGUGUGUGUCUUUGUGAGUCUGCCAUGGCUCACUCCAACAACCACGGGUUUGGACUUAACGCUCCGCAGGGAACCAAGCUAGACAACAUAUUGCAGAUUUUGGAGGAUCUCGGACCAACAGACACACACGAUUUUGCAUCUCAUAAUAAUUCAUCUUUCGUAUCCACCUCGUGCUACAAUCAUCACCGCUACGAGGAACUUCCGGUUGCAGCAGCAGAAGCUGCUGAGACGCAGACAGAUGCAGGCAGAUGUUAUGACGCACGGAAGCCUCCACACGUGAAACUGUCUCGUGAGCACUGUGCACGGCCACAUGCGCUUCCCUCCUCUUCAUCAUUUGAAGUUCAUGGAUAUCUUCUUUAAAGCCUCCAGCCGACACACCAGCAGUCCAUCACAUCUUCAAAUACUAAAGGGCACAUCUGGACUGUACACUGGAUGUGAAAGAAAAUCCCCAAACGCAAAGCAGAGACACACACACAGAGAGAGAGAGUAAGAAGGCUCCAUUGUGUGAACGGG